rnacentral:rRNA from 1 species
GAUCAUGGCUCAGGACGAACGCUGGCGGCGUGCUUAACACAUGCAAGUGAACGCUGAAGCCCAGCUUGCUGGGUGGAUGAGUGGCGAACGGGUGAGUAACACGUGAGUAACCUGCCCCCUUCUUUGGGAUAACGCCCGGAAACGGGUGCUAAUACUGGAUAUUCACUGGCCUUCGCAUGGGGGUUGGGUGGAAAGGGUUUUUUACUUGGUGGGGGAGUGGGCUCGCGGCCUAUCAGCUUGUUGGUGGGGUGAUGG